rnacentral:rRNA from 1 species
GGGUUGUGAGGUUAAGCGACUAAGCGUACACGGUGGAUGCCCUGGCAGUCAGAGGCGAUGAAGGGCGUGCUAAUCUGCGAUAAGCGCCGGUAAGGUGAUAUGAACCGUUAUAACCGGCGAUACCCGAAUGGGGAAACCCAGUGUGACUCGUCACACUAUCAUUAACUGAAUCCAUAGGUUAAUGAGGCGAACCGGGGGAACUGAAACAUCUAAGUACCCCGAGGAAAAGAAAUCAACCGAGAUUCCCCCAGUAGCGGCGAGCGAACGGGGAGGAGCCCAGAGCCUGAAUCAGCAUGUGUGUUAGUGGAAGCGUCUGGAAAGGCGCGCGAUACAGGGUGACAGCCCCGUACACAAAAGCGCAUGUGCUGUGAGCUCGAUGAGUAGGGCGGGACACGUGGUAUCCUGUCUGAAUAUGGGGGGACCAUCCUCCAAGGCUAAAUACUCCUGACUGACCGAUAGUGAACCAGUACCGUGAGGGAAAGGCGAAAAGAACCCCGGCGAGGGGAGUGAAAAAGAACCUGAAACCGUGUACGUACAAGCAGUGGGAGCCCCACCACCAAAGCAUUUGCUGUACCGCGUUGACG